rnacentral:misc_RNA from 1 species
CUGAACUGUCAACACGAGUUGUUGCUGGUCCUCAAAUGGGGGCAUGUGCACACUCUGUUUACACAUCCACUCACACCUGUGCAUCCUCUGUAGUUCCAUGGUGUGGGGGACACCGUCCUCCCCCUGUGGUUCUAUGUCUUUACACACACACUGUUAUAAAGUCUCAUGGCAUGUAUAUAGCGGUUAACGCAAUACAAUA